UAGGGAAUAUUGCUCAAUGGGCGAAAGCCUGAAGCAGCAACGCCGCGUGUGCGAUGAAGGUCUUCGGAUCGUAAAGCACUUUUCUGGGAGAUGAGAAAGGACAGUAUCCCAGGAAUAAGUCUCGGCUAACUACGUGCCAGCAGCCGCGGUAACACGUAGGAGGCGAGCGUUAUCCGGAUUCACUGGGUGUAAAGCGCGUGCAGGCGGUUUGGUAAGUUGGGCGUGAAAGCUCCCGGCUCAACUGGGAGAGGUCGUCCAAUACUACCAGACUAGAGAGCAGAAGAGGAAGAUGGAAUUCCAGGUGUAGUGGUGAAAUGCGUAGAUACCUGGAGGAACACCAGUAGCGAAAGGCGAUCUUCUGGUCUGUUUCUGACGCUCAGACGCGACAGCUAGGGUAGUAAACGGGAUUAGAGACCCCGGUAAUCCUAGCCGUAAAACGAUGUGAACUUGGCGUUUGGUGGCUUAAAACACC
rnacentral:rRNA from 1 species